rfam:Vigna angularis cultivar Jingnong 6 chromosome 4, whole genome shotgun sequence.
UGAAAUGAUGAUGGUUAUUGUCGCCCCAGUCUUAAUUUGCACCAGACGGUGUAAGAUGGUGAAUGACAUUAUUAUCUGAUCC